AGGGUUUGAUCCUGGCUCAGAACGAACGCUGGCGGCGUGGAUAAGACAUGCAAGUCGAACGCUAAUUCUGGUGUAGCAAUACAUCAGAGUUGGAGUGGCGCAAGGGUGCGUAACACGUGGGUAAUUUGCCGUGAAGUUGGGGAUAACUCGCUGAAAGGCGAGCUAAUACCGGAUGUGGAAUCGAAGUGGCAUCACUUUGCUUCUAAAGCUGGGGAUCGUAAGACCUGGCGCUUCAUGAUAAGCCCGCGGCCUAUCAGCUAGUUGGUGAGGUAACGGCUCACCAAGGCGAAGACGGGUAGCUGGUCUGAGAGGACGACCAGCCACACUGGAACUGAGACACGGUCCAGACACCUACGGGUGGCAGCAGUCGAGAAUUUUUCUCAAUGGGCGCAAGCCUGAAGGAGCGACGCCGCGUGGGGGAUGAAGGGUUUCGAUCCGUAAACCCCUGUCAUUCGUGAACAAUGGUUACGAUUGAAUAUUUCGUAAUUUGAUAGUAACGGAAGAGGAAGGGACGGCUAACUCUGUGCCAGCAGCCGCGGUAAUACAGAGGUCCCGAGCGUUGUUCGGAUUCACUGGGCGUAAAGGGUGCGUAGAUGGCCUAAAAAGUUUGAUGUGAAAGCUCAGGGCUUAACCCUGAAAUGGCAUUGAAUACUGUUGGGCUGGAGGUUUGGAGGGGGGACUGGAAUUCUUGGUGUAGCAGUGAAAUGCGUAGAUAUCAAGAGGAACACCAGUGGCGAAAGCGAGUCCCUGGACAACACCUGACACUGAGGCACGAAAGCUCGGGGAGCAAACAGGAUUAGAUACCCUGGUAGUCCGAGCCCUAAACGGUGCGUGUUUGCUGUAAAAGGAGUCGACCCCUUUUGUGGCGAAGCUAACGCGUUAAACACGCCGCCUGGGGAGUACGUCGCAGAUAAACUCAAAGAAAUGACGGGGCUGCACAGCGU
rnacentral:rRNA from 1 species